rnacentral:rRNA from 1 species
UGCAGUCGAACGCGAAAUCACCUUCGGGUGAAGUAGAGUGGCGGACGGGUGAGUAACGCGUGGGAAUCUGCCUAGUAGUGGGGGACAACUCGGGGAAACUCGAGCUAAUACCGCAUACGCCCUACGGGGGAAAGGCUUCGGCCGCUAUUAGAUGAGCCCGCGUCAGAUUAGCUUGUUGGUAGGGUAAUGGCCUACCAAGGCGACGAUCUGUAGCUGGUCUGAGAGGACGAACAGCCACACUGGGACUGAGACACGGCCCAGACUCCUACGGGAGGCAGCAGUGGGGAAUAUUGGACAAUGGGCGAAAGCCUGAUCCAGCAAUGCCGCGUGUGUGAAGAAGGCCUGCGGGUUGUAAAGCACUUUCAGUUGGGAAGAUGAUGACGUUACCAACAGAAGAAGCACCGACUAACUCCGUGCCAGCAGCCGCGGUAAUACG